rnacentral:rRNA from 1 species
UACGUAGGGUGCAAGCGUUGUCCGGAAUUAUUGGGCGUAAGAGCUCGUAGGCGGUCUGUCGCGUCUGCUGUGAAAACUCAGGGCUUAACCCUGAGCUUGCAGUGGGUACGGGCAGACUAGAGUGCGGUAGGGGAGACUGGGAUUCCUGGUGUAGCGGUGAAAUGCGCAGAUAUCAGGAGGAAUACCGAUGGCGAAGGCAGGUCUCUGGGCCAAUACUGACGCUCAUGCACGAAAGCGUGGGGAGCAAACAGG